rnacentral:rRNA from 1 species
AACGAACGCUGGCGGCAGGCCUAACACAUGCAAGUCGAACGCAUCGCAAGAUGAGUGGCGCACGGGUGAGUAACACGUGGGAAUGUAUCCUUUGGUUCGGAAUAACGUCUGGAAACGGACGCUAAUACCGGAUGAGCCCUAUGGGGGGAAAGAUUUAUCGCCGAAGGAGCAGCCCGCGUCUGAUUAGGUAGUUGGUGGGGUAAAGGCCUACCAAGCCGACGAUCAGUAGCUGGUCUGAGAGGAUGAUCAGCCACACUGGGACUGAGACACGGCCCAGACUCCUACGGGAGGCAGCAGUGGGGAAUAUUGGACAAUGGGCGCAAGCCUGAUCCAGCCAUGCCGCGUGAGUGAUGAGGGCCUUCGGGUUGUAAAGCUCUUUCGCACACGACGAUGAUGACGGUAGUGUGAGAAGAAGCCCCGGCUAACUUCGUGCCAGCAGCCGCGGUAACAC